GACGAACGCUGGCGGCGUGCUUAACACAUGCAAGUCGAACGGAAAGGCCCUGCGUUUGUGGGGUGCUCGAGUGGCGAACGGGUGAGUAACACGUGAGUAACCUGCCCUUGACUUUGGGAUAACUUCAGGAAACUGGGGCUAAUACCGGAUAGGAGCUCCUGCUGCAUGGUGGGGGUUGGAAAGUUUCGGCGGUUAGGGAUGGACUCGCGGCUUAUCAGCUUGUUGGUGGGGUAGUGGCUUACCAAGGCUUUGACGGGUAGCCGGCCUGAGAGGGUGACCGGCCACAUUGGGACUGAGAUACGGCCCAGACUCCUACGGGAGGCAGCAGUGGGGAAUAUUGCACAAUGGGCGGAAGCCUGAUGCAGCAACGCCGCGUGCGGGAUGACGGCCUUCGGGUUGUAAACCGCUUUCGCCUGUGACGAAGCGUGAGUGACGGUAAUGGGUAAAGAAGCACCGGCUAACUACGUG
rnacentral:rRNA from 1 species